AGAGUCCCGGGUAGCCACGAUAAAGGAAGCUGCUGUGUUUAUAACCAAGCAAGGAAAUUAACAGUUGAAGCAGAAGGACUAAGCCAUAGAACAGUGAAAAGAGCUUCAUCGAAGUACUCGUAACAAGAUUGUGUGAAAAGCUGCAAUCGACAGGAAGUCCACUAACUUGUAUCCUUCAUGUUCCUGCUGAAGUAAAAGCAUUGGGAUUCAACAUAACUGCAGUUACAUACAUGUAGAUGUCAGAGGCUUGGGUACCCAUGAUAAAGGAAGCUACUGCAUAACCAACCAAGGAUAUGGUGUAAAGGCCUACUGUUGCAUUGAUAUAUACAAAUGUUCAUCUGCAGAGACACGAAGGCAGUCUUCAUACAUGUUAGAUGUCCCCGGUAUCAUUGAGGGAAAUGCAGUUAAACCAGGACUGAUCCACAGAAUGUUUCAAGGAUGGGAAUGUAAUGUACCUGCAGUUACAUGUACAUGCACCGCUACCCAAUAUGAAGGAAGAUGUUGGGCAACCAAUUGCAAAGAAAAUAACAAGAUGAGACAGAAGAAUGUUCAGCAGCAAAUACAUGGAGGAAGUCUUUGGUGUCCCAGGUGUCAUCAGUGGAAAUGUAAUUCGUACCAAGAUUGUUCUACAGAAGGACGUCAUCAAAAUACCAAGAUGAUCUGAAAAACUGCAUAUAAUAGGACAUGAGAAGUAUAUGUAUAUCGUCCCAACACCUUUUUCUAAGAUUACCGCAAAAAGUAUGAAUACAAUUUUCCGAAUUAUGCAAUGUCUUAGCAUUCACAAGAGCCUUAUAUUUUGUGUUCCCCAUGUCUUCUAAAGUAUGUUUCGAAAUCUUCAUGCAAAAAAAAACCACUUCACCGAUUUUAUAUAAUUACACAAUAAUAAAAUCUCCUAAAGCACAUACAAAUGCAGUUUUUCCCUUGAUGUUUUAUCAAUAACAAACGCGCACGAACAAGGAGACCAUGGCACGACACUGCCGGAAGUGGAAGGUUGUUAAAGAAAUUCUUAUUUUACCCAUCUCAAGGUGACUUUUCCUAAGUAUUACUUUAGGAAAACAAAGUUAAAAUUCCAACAUGGGUGUUUCAGGGGGUGGUUUCAUUUAGGAAUCAUUAUUCCAAAAAUUAUUGAACAUGAGAGGUCAGCCCCCAUAUAAAAGCCCCAUAGGCGGAGCGCGCUAGGGUUCCAGAAGCUCGCUGCGUGACUUUUUACUUUCAGGCUCUGUUGGCUCAUGUUCAGUCUUCAGAUUUUUGAUACUUCAACAUUCUCAUAAAGCCAAAAGUAAAGGUAAUUCAUCGACUGGUAGUCUUGGUUUCAAGACGUUAGUGCUUAAUAGCGGACACCGUGCAUAGUGUGCCCCCUAAUGACUCAUAGUUAGACUGUGCGCCAGUGUGCGAGGGCGCUCUUCAACACUAAUAAAACAACUACCUAUCACUGACGUCUUGGGCCAAGACUAAUCGACUUGAAGCGGAACAAAAAGUAUAGUCCAACUGUGUGUUAUCCCAGAAUUUGAACUUUAAAAAAGUCAAACGGCUACAGACAGCUUGUAAUUUGAUACCUUAUGGUCUUAUCCAAGGGCAGAUCCAGAACGUAACGGCACAAUUGCUGUUCAAAAUAGCAUUCCUUGACAGUUUACUAUAAGUUCCAUGUUGAAAUUACUUAAUGAUGGGUAAAACUUUUUUUUAAGCGCAUUAAUGUAGGGAUCUGGGUAUUCCCCAGUUAAGUCAGCGAAUUAUGUGACCUUUAAACCUUCUGCACGUCUCCAAGGCGUGAUUGGGCCCACAUACACACUAGAAUGUACGUGUAUUUUCUUGAAGUCACGCCUGUCGGCCAGAAGUGGCCCUACAAUGUUAUAAUUUUUGGCGUGACUGAAGACAUCUAGGGGGCUUCGGCAGAGCUGUGCUGUGCUAGACAACUGGGUGGGUGGACGUGGUAAAGGCUCCCCUGGGAAUCACAUAGAUUGUAGCAUGCCUGGCCUCCAAUUCCCCCUUCAGUGGCGGACGGACCGCCACCCCCGAGCGAUCGGCCGGGGACCGGACCGCUACAUUAAUAAGUACAGAAACAGAUUUAUUAGUCACUGAGCAAUAAAAGACAUGACAUAAUUUUUAGAAUUUGUUUGACCUUUUCUAUACUCGAAGUUAAGCUGUAGCUUGUAAAAAGUAUUUUUAAAAAGAAAUUUUAUUGCCACGCAGAGAGACUUGUUUUGUCCUCUCUCUCUCUCUCUCUCU
rnacentral:lncRNA from 1 species